AGUGGAAGCGUCUGGAAAGGCGCGCGAUACAGGGUGACAGCCCCGUACACAAAAGCGCAUGUGCUGUGAGCUCGAUGAGUAGGGCGGGACACGUGGUAUCCUGUCUGAAUAUGGGGGGACCAUCCUCCAAGGCUAAAUACUCCUGACUGACCGAUAGUGAACCAGUACCGUGAGGGAAAGGCGAAAAGAACCCCGGCGAGGGGAGUGAAAAAGAACCUGAAACCGUGUACGUACAAGCAGUGGGAGCCCCACCACUAAGCCAGUGGUGAACUCCACAUCCGCAUCCUUUGCUGAGGAUACGGUUAACGGAGCGAAAGCGACGUUCAACCGCAAAACAAGCAGAGGGGGCUUAGUGGUGGGGUGACUGCGUACCUUUUGUAUAAUGGGUCAGCGACUUAUAUUCUGUAGCAAGGUUAACCGAAUAGGGGAGCCGGAGGGAAA
rnacentral:rRNA from 1 species